GAGUUUGAUCUUGGCUCAGAUUGAACGUUGGCGGCAUGCCUUACACAUGCAAGUCGAACGGCAGCAUGAUCUAGCUUGCUAGAUUGAUGGCGAGUGGCGAACGGGUGAGUAAUACAUCGGAACGUGCCCUGUAGUGGGGGAUAACUAGUCGAAAGAUUAGCUAAUACCGCAUACGACCUGAGGGUGAAAGUGGGGGACCGCAAGGCCUCAUGCUAUAGGAGCGGCCGAUGUCUGAUUAGCUAGUUGGUGGGGUAAAGGCCCACCAAGGCGACGAUCAGUAGCUGGUCUGAGAGGACGAUCAGCCACACUGGGACUGAGACACGGCCCAGACUCCUACGGGAGGCAGCAGUGGGGAAUUUUGGACAAUGGGCGAAAGCCUGAUCCAGCAAUGCCGCGUGUGUGAAGAAGGCCUCGG
rnacentral:rRNA from 1 species